CUGAACUGCUCACAGCCUGCAGGCCAGAGGUCCUCACUCAAGGUGCCCUCAGGGCUUGUCCCCCAGAAGGCCCAAGGGAGGCCCUUCCUGCCUCCUUCAGCAGGGGGACGGGCUGGUGUCCCCGGCUGUGGCUAUGUCACUCGGACCUCGCCUUCUCUCACUGUGCCUGUCCUUUCUCAUCUCUAAGAGGACACGGCUCGCUGGGGUUAAGUCCAUGUUCUGCUCACUCGGGAUUUCUGGAAGAAGGACCGGAACACUGGUUCUUAUGCACCUGGAUAAACGCGCUCCCACCUACAGCAUCCACAGAACACGGAGUCCGUCCCAGUGCACCACCCUGAUCCACUUGCUGGACUUACUGAGCAAGCUCUCUGUGCAGGACACCGUGCCUGGGGGGCUGGGGGGAUUCCAACCCCCCAGCCCCCGCCAUUUGGCUCAUCAAAGCCAUUUUGUUCCUGGCCAGGCCCAAUUCAC
rnacentral:lncRNA from 1 species